UUGUUACAUUUAUUUACUUGUGUGCGAGGAGGUCAGAGGCUAACUUGCGGGAGGCAGUUUUCUCUUUUCAUCAUGAGUGCACCAGGGAUAAAACUCAGGUUAUCCGGCUUAGCAGUAAACACCUUUAUCUCACUCACCCUCCUGUUUGUGUCUCACUCUGUAGCCCAGGCUGGCCUCAAACUGGUAGCCAUUUCCUGCUUCAGUGUCCUGAGUGCUGGGGUUACCAGAGUGAGUUGCCAUGCCUGGCUUUAUUUCUAACAGCUGGUCCUUUGGAAACGAACUGUAUAAUUUUAUACCUACAGGCUAUAUUGAAUAUGAUCUCCACAGUUUUCACAGAUACUGGGAAGGUGGGGUGCACAGUUUUCUUCACAGGGGAUACCCUGAACAGUGUUUCCUAUUUCUAAAACCUUCCUUUAGUUCUCAGAAAGAUAUACACGUUUUAAACCUUUAUUAGAGAAAUAUUUGACCCAAAACACCCACAGAGAAAUAAUAGCCAGACAGGUUGCUGCAUUUAUAUUCUUAGUAAAACUCCAGAGGUAAAUGAACCCUGUGUCUUGUGUUAGAUUCUUACCUUACGCUCACUUUGAAGGAAUGAAACAAGAAGAGGCUACAGGACUGAAAUCUGUGUCAGGGGGAGGGAUUUGGAAAAGGCUUUGAAGAACUCAGGCCUCAUCUGUGAUCGACGGAUGGGGGAACUCGGCUUGCGAUUCGCCACUGUAGUUUCUAGCCUGUCAGUGAGGCCUC
rnacentral:lncRNA from 1 species